UACGACUACAUCACGUUGAUACACUAGUUCGCGUACGAACAGCGAAGUUAAGCAACGCCGAGCCUGGCCAGUAUCUAGAUGGGUGUCCGUUUGAGAAUACCAGGUCUUGUAA